ensembl:lncRNA
GCAGGCUUGCAUCCAAAGCACCGUGUCCCUGCUCUCUGGCUGCCUGAAGAAUGGGGAGAACGUUGCCGUUGUCUUCAAGGACAUUGGAGUGCUCCACAUCGAUGGAAUGACCUUCCACAUGAAAUUCUAUUACGACUUCCUUGAGAAGCUGUCAGGGAAAGAGAAGUUCAGGAAAGCUCUUCUCAAGGCCCCCUGGCUGCUGGACAUGGUGGUGUCCCGAGCGGCACCGGUGGCCUCCCUGGCACUCUCUGGCUGCCUCGUCGUCUUUCCCAAGUUUCAAAUGGAGUUUGUCCCCAAACCACCACCUGGGAUAUCCCGCAGGUCCUCAGGAGGCAUCCCUGCGGAGGGGAAACCAAAGGAAGAGGAGGCUUUGCCACCUCUCGCCCAGGGCAAGAAAGGUAAAGCAGCAUCCAGCGCCUUUCCAGGGCACAAGCCACCAACUUGAGAUGGGAAAUCCCUUGCUGAACAUCAGCCAAGGGCUCUGACUUGCGACAAAGCUUCAUGCCAGCUCAGCACAGCCUCUUCCCACGAGGAAUUGUUGGCCUCUCCAAAACCAAGGCGCUGGCUGUGACGUGCCCCCAUCCCUGGCUAUGGCAGGAGGACCUCGGCACCUCAGGCCCCGCCCUCCCCCAACAGAAGGAUAUGGUCCCCAAAAGUCACCCUGUCAGCUCAUCGUCACCACCCAGCUCCGCUUUCCCAAAGCCAGCGUCACUAAUGCACUCCCAAAAGAGAGUCCCAAGAUGGCAGAGAGGAGGAGUGGGGCCAGAGAUGGUUUCAGGGAGGGUCCGCGGGUGGCACAGAUGUCAGCAGUGGGGGGAGCAGAGCGGCCCUCACGCAUGUUCUGGGAACAGGCCUGAGCGCCCCUUGUAAGUGAGCCAAAGGGUUGAUGGUGAGUCUCCUCUGCCUUCCCAAUCCCAGUGAGAUUUGCUGGCAAGCCAACUUUCAUCAAACGCUUGAGCUCGGACAGUCUAGAUGGAGGAAAACUCCGAAGGAUAAGGAGCUUACUGCGCAAGGAGAGCUCUACGUCCAGGUGAGGCUGGAGGCUCUGGCUUGGGAUGUGCAUGGGGGUGAUUGACUGAGCCAACGAGAGCCCAUUCCCUAGCCCCAAAGGGUCCCUGUUUCUGGAUCCCACGGGGGAGAGCCACGGGGCAGCCGGUGAGCUGUCUGUGGGGAAGGCUGCGUUGCAGCCAAGGGUCCUGGCUCCGGCUUGCAGGAUGCGGCCCCAAAGCCAUCAUCCACUCAGGCGGACCCCUCCUGCUCUGUCCUUUCAGUCUGCUGCCAGCCAUCCCUGGAGUGCCUGAAGAACAAAAGCAGCCGCUGACCUGCCAGCUGCAGGGCCAGGCAGAAACAGACAGCCAAGAAGACCUGGGCCGAGCCCCAGGAACCAAACACGUGAGCUUCCGUGAGGAAGAACAGGAAGCGGAAAAAGCCCAUCGUGUGGCUGCAGUGCUGAAGUUGCCCAAAGCCAAUGAAUCUUUCAGCAAAGAUUCCAGACCUUCCUCAAGGGCUCAGUCCAGCCCGUCACAGGCAUCGCAAGGCACUCCAUCCCGGCUUCCACUUCUGGCAUGUGACUCAGUCAGACUUCUCAGGCGCAGGGCUAAGAAGAGCAGGCAGAAAGAACCUGAGGAGAUGGAAGCAUCAACAUCUCAGGCUGAGGCCAGCCAGCCGCAGGAGUCCUCUGCUGACAGAGCUGGAUUUCUGCCACCGAUAAACGAAGAAACACAGUCUCCUCAGCGUCAGCCCCCGGACACCAAAGCCCCACCGCGCAGGAAGGGCACACCCUACCCACGCUGAUGCAGGCAUGGGGCGCCCACGAGCUCCAAGACCUCCA